rnacentral:misc_RNA from 1 species
GAUGAAGAACGUAGCGAAAUGCGAUAAGUAAUGUGAAUUGCAGAAUUCAGUGAAUCAUCGAAUCUUUGAACGCACAUUGCGCCCCCUGGUAUUCCGGGGGGCAUGCCUGUCCGAGCGUCAUUACAACCCUCAAGCUCAGCUUGGUGUUGGGCCCCGCCGCCCCGGCGGGCCCUAAAGUCAGUGGCGGUGCCGUCCGGCUCCGAGCGUAGUAAUUCUUCUCGCUCUGGAGGUCCGGUCGUGUGCUCGCCAGCAACCCCCAAUUUUUUUCUGGUUGACCUCGGAUCAGGUAGGGAUACCCGCUGAACUUAAGCAUAUCAAUAAGCGGAGGA